CUUAAGUACAUAUGGGAGCCGAUGAUUUGUUGUUCACAUGGUUGUUAUGUGUACUAAGCAUUUUAUAGAAGAAACUUUAAAAUCUACUGUUCUUUUGGCAUUUUUUUGGUGUGCAUAUUACUUCAUUUUAAGUCCCCUUAAAGCUGUGCUGGCAAUGUCAGGUGAGCCCCUGAGAACCACGUGAACACCUAGAGACUCUCCCCUGAGCGAACAGUCUGGAUCCAGGCCAACAUCUGGACUCUUGGAUGUCUUGUGACCCGGACAAGGUUAGGCAAGUCUUGCGUGUGUUUUCGUCCUCAUUUUCAUCUGGUCCUGAAUGACCUCCCUUGUGUUCUGGCUCCCUUCCAGGCUCCUCAGUUUAGAAACAAGUCCCUCAAAGGUGUGUCCACAGGGAAGGCUGCUCACCACUGUUCAUGGAGCUCCAGAGAUUGACGCCCUGGCUUGCUGGUCAUCAGUUUCCUAAACACAACAAUCUCUACCCACCUCAUAUUACAUGUAUGUCCUGUAUGUAAAAUGCUCAGAACAGUGUGGUGAAUUCUCCAUGAACCAUGAAUAAGGAUGGGAGUCUGCAUUCCCUGAGAAGAACCUGUGAGGAGGCACAAGCUCUAUCAGAGUUAACACUAAAAUCCAGAGUGUUGCAUGCAGUAUUGAGGUCAACUUUGAUCAACCAUUAUUCCAUUUUCUUCUGUGUGGGAAAUACUGUGAUUAUGAAUUCACUCAGUUACUCAAUCAAAUAGGUUUUCCUUCUCUUACUCCCAGCCUCUCUGCUCUGUCCACUCAACCAUUACGAGCAUUGAUGCAUUGGAUGUUCCCACUUUUCAUUAAUAAAAUACCAUGAACCUUA